UACGGGAGGCAGCAGUGGGGAAUAUUGCACAAUGGGCGCAAGCCUGAUGCAGCCAUGCCGCGUGUAUGAAGAAGGCCUUCGGGUUGUAAAGUACUUUCAGUCGUGAGGAAGGUGUUAAGGUUAAUAACCUUAGCAAUUGACGUUAGCGACAGAAGAAGCACCGGCUAACUCCGUGCCAGCAGCCGCGGUAAUACGGAGGGUGCGAGCGUUAAUCGGAAUUACUGGGCGUAAAGGGCACGCAGGCGGUUAAUUAAGUUGGAUGUGAAUCCCCGGGCUUAACCUGGGAAUGGCAUUCAAGACUGGUUAGCUAGAGUCUUGUAGAGGGGGUAGAAUUCCAUGUGUAGCGGUGAAAUGCGUAGAGAUGUGGAGGAAUACCGGUGGCGAAGGCGGCCCCUGGACAAAGGACUGACGCUCAUGUGCGAAAGCGUGGGGAGCGAAACAGGGAUUAGAUACC
rnacentral:rRNA from 1 species